rfam:[Clostridium] clariflavum DSM 19732 chromosome, complete genome.
UCGUGCUAGAUGGGGAGGUAGCGGUGCCCUGUACCUGCAAUCCGCUAUAGCAGGGUUGAAUUCCUGCCUCAGGCAUGUUUUUGUAUGGUCUGCCCUAUGUAAGUGGCAAUGAAAAUCGGGUCCUGCGCAAUGAAAACCCAUGAACCCCGUCAGGUUCGGAAGAAAGCAGCGGUAAGUGGGCACUUUCAUGUGCCGCGGAAAUGCCUGGUUUGAGUUAACUGCAUAGGUAACGCUUGUAGGAACUUGUCAAAGGCAGGUGCACGA